rnacentral:rRNA from 1 species
UGAGGAAUAUUGGUCAAUGGGCGAGAGCCUGAACCAGCCAAGUAGCGUGCAGGACGACGGCCCUAUGGGUUGUAAACUGCUUUUAUGUGGGGAUAAAGUGCGUGACGUGUCAUGCAUUGCAGGUACCACAUGAAUAAGGACCGGCUAAUUCCGUGCCAGCAGCCGCGGUAAUACGGAAGGUCCGGGCGUUAUCAGGAUUUAUUGGGUUUAAAGGGAGCGUAGGCUGUCUAUUAAGCGUGUUGUGAAAUAUACCGGCUCAACCGGUGGCUUGCAGCGCGAACUGGUCGACUUGAGUAUGCAGGAAGUAGGCGGAAUUCAUGGUGUAGCGAUGAAAUGCUUAGAUAUCAUGACGAACUCCGAUUGCGCAGGCAGCUUACUGUAGCAUAACUGACGCUGAUGCUCGAAAGUGCGGGUAUCAAACAGG